ensembl:lncRNA
ACUAGACAGACCAGACAGACCAUACAGUACCAGGCAGACUAGACAGACCAGACAGACCAGACAGUACCAGGCAGACCAGACAGUACUAGACAGACCAGACAGACCAGACAGUACCAGGCAGACUAGACAGACCAGACAGACCAGACAGUACCAGGCAGACCAGACAGUACUAGACAGACCAGACAGACCAUACAGUACUAGACAGACCAGACAGACCAGACAGUACCAGACAGACUAGACAGGCCAGAGAGACUAGACAGACCAGACAGACCAUACAGUACCAGGCAGACUAGACAGUACUAGACAGACUAGACAGACCAGACAGACCAGACAGUACCAGACAGACUAGACAGACCAGACAGACCAGACAGUACCAGACAGACUAGACAGACCAGACAGACUAGACAGACCAGACAGACCAGACAGUACCAGACAGACUAGACAGGCCAGAGAGACGAGACAGACCAGACAGACCAUACAGUACCAGGCAGACUAGACAGUACUAGACAGACUAGACAGACCAGACAGACCAGACAGUACCAGACAGACUAGACAGACCAGACAGCCUAGACAGACCAGACAGUACCAGACAGACCAGACAGUACUAGACAGACCAUACAGUACUAGACAGACCAGACAGACUAGACAGACCAGACAGUACUAGACAGACCAUACAGUACCAGACAGACCAGACAGUACCAGACAGUACCAGACAGACCAGACAGUACCAGACAGUACUAGGCAGACCAGACAUACCAGACAGUACCAGACAGACCAGACAGUACCAGACAGUACUAGACAGAACAGACAUACCAGACAGUACCAGACAGACCAGACAUACACACUGACUCCAGCAUCAUCCCCAGACUAUCUGGUAUGGUAUUAUAGCUAAUCUCCUUUUGCCAAGAGGCUCAGAGAAAAUACUACUGUUUAAGAGCUCAGGGAUUGCUGGGGGAAAAAAAAUGUGACAAUCUCUUUU